GACGAACGCUGGCGGCGUGCUUAACACAUGCAAGUCGAACGGAAAGGCCCUGCUUUUGUGGGGUGCUCGAGUGGCGAACGGGUGAGUAACACGUGAGUAACCUGCCCUUGACUUUGGGAUAACUUCAGGAAACUGGGGCUAAUACCGGAUAGGAGCUCCUGCUGCAUGGUGGGGGUGGGAAAGUUUCGGCGGUUGGGGAUGGACUCGCGGCUUAUCAGCUUGUUGGUGGGGUAGUGGCUUACCAAGGCUUUGACGGGUAGCCGGCCUGAGAGGGUGACCGGCCACAUUGGGCCUGGGAUACGGCCCAGACUCCUACGGGAGGCAGCAGUGGGGAAUAUUGCACAAUGGGCGGAAGCCUGAUGCAGCAACGCCGCGUGCGGGAUGACGGCCUUCGGGUUGUAAACCGCUUUCGCCUGUGACGAAGCGUGAGUGACGGUAAUGGGUAAAGAAGCACCGGCUAACUACGUG
rnacentral:rRNA from 1 species